AAAGUUGGUUUCGGAUCAAAAGAUAUGCAGGAGAGGUACCAUAUGUUUUGUGAUAAUUGAGAUAGUGGGGUAGCGGGGACUCAUCCUUGCUUUCCCUUUUUUGUGGGACACUUUGCCCUUCACACUUCACACGUAUGAAUGCCAUUAUAAAUAAGGGUAGCGGGGAAGAAAGUUUAUCACACCCUACUCCAAUCUCCCAUCACCAUGAGGGCUUUCCUUGUAUGCUUUCUCUUCAUUUCAGCCCUUCUCUUUGCCUCUUGCGUUAGUGCUCGAGAGUUGGUUCAAAAUGAAAUGAUGACUACUGAUCAUAAGGUGGGCAUUACAGCAGGCUCCAACUGUGGACCUGGAAAAGCUUACAGAAACUGCAUUCCCAAUCCAAAACCAACUCCGUGUUCCAAGUAUUAUCGAAGAUGUAGCCCACCAAGCCCUUGAAAAUGAAAAUAUAAACUGGUACUAUAUAUAUAGGAUGAAGGAGUGGCUGUGGCUUGGGGUAGAAGAAUAAUAUAGCUUGGGCGCAUGUGACAUAUGUAUGGGUUGAUUUGGACUUUGUGGUUUCUAAGUGUUGGAUUAUAUAUAUAUAUAGUCCAGAAGUACCAUGUAUUACGAGUUUGCUUGAUUAAUAAUAGAGCUGACUUAGGUCAGUCUCCAUAAGAAAGCAUGUUGUGUUUCUUCU